GGUAAAGGCCUACCAAGGCGACGAUCGUUAGCUGGUCUGAGAGGAUGAUCAGCCACAUUGGGACUGAGACACGGCCCAAACUCCUACGGGAGGCAGCAGUGGGGAAUAUUGGACAAUGGGCGAAAGCCUGAUCCAGCAAUGCCGCGUGUGUGAAGAAGGUCUUCGGAUUGUAAAGCACUUUCGACGGGGACGAUGAUGACGGUACCCGUAGAAGAAGCCCCGGCUAACUUCGUGCCAGCAGCCGCGGUAAUACGAAGGGGGCUAGCGUUGCUCGGAAUGACUGGGCGUAAAGGGCGCGUAGGCGGAUGGCACAGUCAGAUGUGAAAUUCCCGGGCUUAACCUGGGGGCUGCAUUUGAUACGUGUUGUCUAGAGUGAGGAAGAGGGUCGUGGAAUUCCCAGUGUAGAGGUGAAAUUCGUCGAUAUUGGGAAGAACACCGGUGGCGAAGGCGGCGACCUGGUCCUUUACUGACGCUGAGGCGCGAAAGCGUGGGGAGCAAACAGGAUUAGAUACCCUGGUAGUCCACGCUGUAAACGAUGUGUGCUGGAUGUUGGGCGACCUAGUCGCUCAGUGUCGUAGCUAACGCGAUAAGCACACCGCCUGGGGAGUACGGCCGCAAGG
rnacentral:rRNA from 1 species